AGGAGGCAGGCAGCAGAGCAUCGGGCAGAGGACCCACAGUGGACAUGGGGCCUCACACCUCUGCAGACUUCCCUUCAGCAAGAAGAUUCUCGCUAGAUGUGGCCUCAAUCUUGCAGUUCUCAACCUCCAUAACAAUUUUGCACCAAUUCUUGCCUACAUCUGACAGAUGCCUCUCCUUACUCCACCCUUGGAGGAUGAGUGUUUGCACCUCUGUGUAAUUAUUCAAAAGUAUGUAAUGAAUGUUUACUAUGUGUCAGGCAAUAAUAUGAAGUCCAGAGACAUGGUGGUGGACAUAGUAGCUGAGAAGGAUUCUAUGAAAAAAUGCUUUUUAAAUUUAGGUCUGAAUGAUGGAAAUUUGUGGUCCAUGGAAAGAAAAAAAAAAGGAAGUUACAGAUGGGGUAAACCAUAUGUGCAAAACCUCGA